rnacentral:rRNA from 1 species
UACAGAGGGUGCGAGCGUUGUUCGGAAUUACUGGGCGUAAAGGGCGCGUAGGCGGUAGAAUAAGUCAGGUGUGAAAUUCCGGGGCUCAACCCCGGAGCUGCAUUUGAAACUGUUCAACUAGAGUUCAGUUAGGGUAAACGGAAUUCCACGUGUAGCGGUGAAAUGCGUAGAUAUGUGGAAGAACACCGGUGGUGAAGACGGUUUACUGGGCUGAUACUGGCGCUGAGGCGCGAAAGCAUGGGGAGCAAACAGG